rnacentral:rRNA from 1 species
UACAGAGGUCUCAAGCGUUGUUCGGAUUCAUUGGGCGUAAAGGGUGCGUAGGCGGCAUGGCAAGUGGAAGGUGAAAUCCCUCGGCUUAACCGAGGAACUGCCCUCCAAACUGCUUUGCUUGAGGCCGGGAGAGGUGAGUGGAAUUCCCAGUGUAGCGGUGAAAUGCGUAGAUAUUGGGAGGAACACCAGUGGCGAAGGCGGCUCACUGGACCGGUUCUGACGCUGAGGCACGAAGGUCAGGGGAGCAAACGGG